rnacentral:rRNA from 1 species
UGGGGAAUAUUGGACAAUGGGCGAAAGCCUGAUCCAGCCAUGCCGCGUGUGUGAAGAAGGUCUUCGGAUUGUAAAGCUCUUUAAGUGGGGAGGAAGGGCAGUAAGCGAAUACCUUGCUGUUUUGACGUUACCGACAGAAUAAGCACCGGCUAACUCUGUGCCAGCAGCCGCGGUAAUACAGAGGGUGCAAGCGUUAAUCGGAAUUACUGGGCGUAAAGCGCGCGUAGGUGGUUCGUUAAGUUGAAUGUGAAAGCCCCGGGCUCAACCUGGGAACUGCAUCCAAAGCUGGCGGGCUAGAGUAGGGCAGAGGGUGGUGGAAUUUCCUGUGUAGCGGUGAAAUGCGUAGAUAUAGGAAGGAACACCAGUGGCGAAGGCGACCACCUGGGCUCAUACUGACGCUGCGGUGCGAAAGCGUGGGGAGCAAACAGG